rnacentral:lncRNA from 1 species
AUUAGAUACAUGGGAAGGUGGCUUUGAGUGCAAGUGGGAGAUUAUUGGAAGUAUGCCCACAAAGCCACUCAUUUGAUGUAAUAGCUUUUGGAAUACUUCUUGUGUUAAACUAUUAAAGGUUUAAUGAAGGGCAAAGCUUAUUGUUAAUCACUAUUUAUUGUAUUAUGUGUUUAAGCGAUAAGGGAAUCCAAGGAAUGUAUUUAAUCUAAGAGAGAAGUGAUAUAAGUAAGUUAGAUUAACGAGACCUUUCUCUUAUGUUUAUUCCUAAAACGUUCCUAGCCAUAGGAUUGACAAUUGGGCAUUGACAAUCCGCUAAGGUUAGUAUGUGUUAUGUUAACUCAAGCGUGAGUAUGACUAGUCUCAAGUCAUUUAGUAUUGGACACUAUGACUAGUCUUAAGUCAUUUACUUUUAGGUUUCGGGGCCCAAAAGGGUUUUUGGUCCACAAGGCCUAUUGAGUUUAGGUUGUGUGACAAUUAAAACUAAAUGGAAAUUAACCCAAAAACAAAGUUAAAACUGGCCUAGGGUGAGUGGAUCCAAACUUGGCUUAAUUGUAAGUUUGCCACUCACUUAUGAGGUGGUAUAAAGGCAACUUUAUAGCCAUUACCUCAUUAGGGUUUUCUUGAGGAAAACAAGAGAAACAUUUUCCCUCUUUUUCUCUAUAGAGGCCGGCCUUUAGGGAGAUUUUUACUAGCAUAAAAAAAAAACUCUCUAAGUCAUCCAUCUUCUCUUCACACUACAUCUUUGGUGUGGAGACUUAGAGACACUAAAUCUUUAGUGUUCUUGGAUAUCCUUUCCUCACAUCGUCAAAGAACAAAGGAGUAUCAAAAGGAAGAAAACACAAGGAAGAUCUAAGGAGCUAGGAGGUGACUUGAAGGCCCUCCAUUUGGGUGAAUCCCUUGUGUAAACAAGGAUGAGCUUCAAGGAUAAUGAAUCUCAAAAUCCUUUCUUCUUUUUAAUGUUAUUAAAGAGUCUUAUGGUUCACCAUUCACUAGGCUUUGAAAGUUAUGGGUUUUAGAAUUGUUUUUUAAUGCAUGCCUACUUUAAAGUGUUAUUAGUUUACAUAUGUGUUCAAAUGUUCUCACAUGUUCUUAGCUAGAACAAAAUUUUCCUUCAGGUACAGGCUUGAAGCGUUGGUAGUUAUCAUACUUUUGAACAAAUUCCUUAGCGUCUUGAUGCAUGGUGGGCUAAUAGUAGCCAACGUUAAAGACCUUACAUGCUAAGGAUCGACCUCCUAAGUGGUUUCCAA